UACGGGGGGGGGCAAGCGUUGUUCGGAAUUACUGGGCGUAAAGCGUGCGUAGACGGUAGCGUAAGUCGGGUGUGAAAGCCCCGGGCUCAACAUGGGAAUUGCAUUCGAGACUGCUCUGCUAGGGUGCGGAAGAGGGGAGCGGAAUUUCCGGUGUAGCGGUGAAAUGCGUAGAUAUCGGAAGGAACACCAGUGGCGAAAGCGGCUCCCUGGUCCAGCACCGACGUUCAGGCACGAAAGCGUGGGGAGCAAACAGG
rnacentral:rRNA from 1 species